rnacentral:rRNA from 1 species
UACGGAGGGUGCAAGCGUUAUCCGGAUUUACUGGGUUUAAAGGGUGCGUAGGCGGGACUUUAAGUCAGCGGUGAAAGCUCCAAGCUUAACUGUGAAACUGCAUUGGAUACUAUCCGGCUCGAGGAAUGGAGGGGAGACUGGAAUACUUGGUGUAGCAGUGAAAUGCGUAGAUAUCAAGUGGAACACCAGUGGCGAAGGCGAGUCUCUGGACAUUUCCUGACGCUGAGGCACGAAAGCCAGGGGAGCAAACGGG